rnacentral:rRNA from 1 species
UGCCAGCAGCCGCGGUAAUACGUAGGUGGCAAGCGUUAUCCGGAAUUAUUGGGCGUAAAGCGCGCGUAGGCGGUUUUUUAAGUCUGAUGUGAAAGCCCACGGCUCAACCGUGGAGGGUCAUUGGAAACUGGAAAACUUGAGUGCAGAAGAGGAAAGUGGAAUUCCAUGUGUAGCGGUGAAAUGCGCAGAGAUAUGGAGGAACACCAGUGGCGAAGGCGACUUUCUGGUCUGUAACUGACGCUGAUGUGCGAAAGCGUGGGGAUCAAACAGGAUUAGAUACCCUGGUAGUCCACGCCGUAAACGAUGAGUGCUAAGUGUUAGGGGGUUUCCGCCCCUUAGUGCUGCAGCUAACGCAUUAAGCACUCCGCCUGGGGAGUACGACCGCAAGGUUGAAACUCAAAGGAAUUGACGGGGGCCCGCACAAG